GAGAAAACAGCUCCUUAAUCUGUUGACAGGAUUAAGGACCCCUGUUGUUUUACAGGAAGUAAAUAAAUCCUUAUGGUAUUCUGGAAACCUCAGAAGUAUAUAAGAGUGUGUAGCUCAGACGCAAACCACAUGAGUUUGGCCUAUCGAUUUGGAAAUAUGAGACAUGACAAAUCGCUGUUUUUCUAAACUGGAAACCGAAGAAAUUGUACACUUCCUCAAGAAUUACACACUUGAGCUCAGAAGAAGGUAACCUCUGGAUCUUCAGAACCCGUUUUAUGGCUUUGAAGGGUGUUCAAACAGGGCUUAAC
rnacentral:lncRNA from 1 species